UUUAACAUCAUCUUAAUUUAUGCCCCUUUCCAAUCAAGGAGAUUACUAAGGGGCGGGGCCAGUUCCAAUCAUUGGAUGCACUCACAUCCAUGGAUGGGGCCAGAUGGUAAAGGAUGGGGAUCACUGGGCUGAGCCCAAUACCCCAAAAAAACUUCAGGAGUUACCAGACCCAGGACAUGAACCCAGGUCCUCCUGCGUGGCAUGCCAACAGCAUUAUUACUCGGCCAUCUGGUCACGAUAAUUUAACAUUAGGAAGGGGAUAUAAGUAUGUAUAUUUUUCUUGUAUUCCCUACUUCAAUCUUUAUUUCCAAGUCCG
rnacentral:lncRNA from 1 species